rnacentral:rRNA from 1 species
CUUUUAACGAGAGUUUGAUCCUGGCUCAGGACGAACGCUGGCGGCGUGCCUAAUACA